rnacentral:rRNA from 1 species
UGGCGGACGGGUGAGUAACGCGUGGGUAACCUGCCUCAUACAGGGGGAUAACAGUUAGAAAUGACUGCUAAUACCGCAUAAGACCACAGCACCGCAUGGUGCAGGGGUAAAAACUCCGGUGGUAUGAGAUGGGCCCGCGUCUGAUUAGGUAGUUGGUGGGGUAACGGCUUACCAAGCCGACGAUCAGUAGCCGACCUGAGAGGGUGACCGGCCACAUUGGGACUGAGACACGGCCCAA